CUUGGCUCUCUGAAGCUUCUCCUGGCGUGUCUGCUGAUAGACCAACAAUUACCGCAGCUGCCUCAUCCGCGGCUCCAAGUGCGGCACUUGGAGCCUGCAGAGCCGGACCCUUCGCUCACGCUUUGGGCUGCGGCCGGUUCUGAAGCAGCCAAGCCUGGAUUCAAAGCAACGGGGCAUGUCUGCAAAAACUGGGAAUUUUGCAAUCAGGGAGAUGUUUUGAAAUGUUCUCGGUGGGGAAGAUUUGAAGGAAAAGUUUGCUUUCCAGGAGAAUUCAUGCUAGCGAAGCUCGACUGGCUGUUCAAGACCUGGGGACCUAACAUACAGAUGCCCUCACCCGUGGCUGGUUCCAGCCCACGCUCCCUGCUCCUGUCUCUGCGGCUGAAGGAGGGAAGGGGAAGGCUCAAUCAAGCAGCGGCUCACUGUCGAGGAAGGCAGCCGAAUAGCCUCGUGCGAAUGGACUGGUUUGUCAAGAUCAGGGCAGCAUUAAUGUUCCCCCAGGCUAAGCACAGAUGUGUUUUCACUAUAACAUGAUCUCGACAAUUAAAACAACUGUACCUGCAUUUAUCAUAUUGAUGGGAUGAAACAUGCUCGGUUGCACUGAGGCAUUCUGCAAGUGCAUUAUUCAUGGGGCCUAAUACAUCACACAACUAUUUUCAUCUUGCUUUGUAAAUGUGUAUGGAAGGAGAGGAGUUGCUGGAAGACGAGGAGAAAGCCUGGCGAGGCGUCCCUAACACAACUGGCAGCAAUACGGUGCCUAUCCAUCUGCUGGUGGUGGAGUGGCUGUGGCAUUUAUCAGAGCCAGAAUGUUUUAUCUCAUGUCAAAGUGAGAAAUUCAGCUAGAUGGAAAUCGUUUUUCCCCAUAGCCCACCAUUAGCAAGAAGCUUUAAGGACCAUUCAGCACAGCAAUGGAUGUAAUGAAGCUGCACAUCUACCAGGCACAGAUACAUCCCCUAAACCUACGUGUUUAGGGGGUGUAUCUACGUACCUCUGUCCUACCUAGCCAUUCCAUCUCUUGUGCUGCUUUGUACACACACGGUCCUGUGCUCAUUUUGGUCCACAGCUGCUUCGAACAGUCUGAUAGUCUGAAGGCUUCCAUUGCCACGAGCACCAACCCUGUGAGACACUGCAGGGAGGCCCCAUCAAUAACAUCGUGUUUUAGUCUGGGUCUUAGUGACUUUGCUGUGCAAGCUAUGUUUCCACUUGAGCUCUGCUCUGGGAUCUUUCCAUGGUUAAAUCCAGACAUGGACCAGAGGCAAAUGUAUGACCUUGUCCCCCUCUGAGGGGUAUGAGACUUGUGCAAGCCAUUGGGUAUCACUUGGCUCCACAGGUGUUGGGACACAUUGCUCAGAAAGAGCUAGAACCAAUGCAGCUCUUAAGAGGUGAGGGUGAAGGUGCCACUGACAGAUCUCACGGGUCUCUUUAGUGUCUGAGCCUUGAAAUGUUGCAUCUGGAAAUGCACCAGGAUGGCAACAUACUGAUUUCCUUCUCAUGUCUGCUUCUCAAGAAAGAAUGAACGAAAGAAAGAAAGAAAGAAAGAAAGAAAGAAAGAAAGAAAGAAAGAAGCCACACACAGAUUGGUGAGAAAGAAGCUGGGAGAAGAUUCCCUGCUGGAAGCAACAGGCAGGGUCAUGCCAGGGCAGCAGACAGGUGUGAGAGCCUCCUCUCUGGGAGAAGACUGUGGGAAGUGGGUGCCAGCCAUAGCCAAUAUACUUCAUGCUGAGAUUCUGCAGAGGGCUGACAUCUCCCCAGGGCUGCCUUAACACCUCUCUUCCCCACACCAUAUUCUGCAUCCUUUCUAAGACCCAGUUGCUGAAGAUCCAGCUGUUUAAAUCCUCCUCGAAUCCCUCUUUUUGGCUGGUGAAAAGACGCCCAGGCUCUUAGCAAGCUGGUGGCACUCAUUGAUGAUUGCCAAGCCAGUGCCUGCUCAUCAGCUGCUCUAAAUAAACCCAUCUCUCCUAAAUAAAAAUGAACCA
rnacentral:lncRNA from 1 species